rnacentral:rRNA from 1 species
UACGGAGGGUGCAAGCGUUAUCCGGAUUCACUGGGUUUAAAGGGUGCGUAGGCGGACAGGUAAGUCCGUGGUGAAAUCUCUGAGCUUAACUCAGAAACUGCCAUGGAUACUAUUUGUCUUGAAUACUGUGGAGGUAAGCGGAAUAUGUCAUGUAGCGGUGAAAUGCUUAGAUAUGACAUGGAACACCAAUUGCGAAGGCAGCUUACUACACAAAUAUUGACGCUGAGGCGCGAAAGCGUGGGGAUCAAACAGG